CGGCGACGGCGGCGAUCCGACAAUGAAGGUGUCAGUUUGGCAGAUGAUAAAGAAAGAGUAUGGGUUCGGUCACUCUCUUAAAAGAGGAGAAAUAAGAAGAGAAAAGAAAAUAAGAAAAAAUGAAGAAGUUGCGCGGUGGUGCGUGGUGGUUGCCAUGGUGGUGGAGGGCGGCGCUGGGGGCAGUGUUUGGAGAAAAAUAAGAGGGGAGAGGUGGCAAGGUGGUGGUUUUGUGGUGAGGUGAUGGUGGUGCAAAGCUAGGAACGGUGGGAGAAAAAAUAAGCAAAAAGGGAGGUUGAGA
rnacentral:lncRNA from 1 species